GGCUGGGUGGCGUAACAGUAUCGCGCCGCCGAUCUAUACACGGAUCAGAUUUCUUCCAGUGGAGGUUCCUCGUUCGAGUCGAGGCCUGGCCU